rnacentral:miRNA from 1 species
UCCACUGUUGCGUUUUUCAUACGUACGUAUACGCACGUAAAACUUUAAAUCCGUUUAAAUGUUACUUAUACCGGGUAAAAUACAAAAAAAAAAAAAAAGCAACAGAAUUUAGUGUUCCGCAAGUUUUAGUAUGCAUUUGUUAACUUAUUUGUAAAAUAUUUAAAAAAUAGAAGGAUUCAAAGUUUUACGUGCGUGUACGUGCGUACGAAAAACGCAACUGUGGA